GCCAAAGGUGAAGUUAACAAUAGACUAGCUGUAGUAUUUAGAUUAUUAUUGUCAAAGUAGAUCUUUGCAUUCUCCUCCCAUAAACGACAGAUGAAGUUCAGAGAUCGACCUGGGUUUUUUUAUUCUAAAACAUUGUGUGUGCUGUGCACUACCUUUUUGUAGAGAUAAAUAAACAGCAGGGGGGUAGACACAAAAUUCUGUUAUAAAUCAGUUGCUAGGCAGGUCUUAUUGAUCGCGAGAGGGGGAGUUUCUGUGAGGAUGAUGGAAGAAGAAAAAAAUUUGUUCCUGACGUCAGGUUAGUGAAAGAAUAAAUUUUUAUUUUCAAAAAGAAGAAAAAGAAAAAUAAAAGAUUCCGGAUCGAAGUUUUUCCUGGAAAAGCCUUCACUUCCCAUCCUCCCCUAUUUCACUCUCUAGCUAGCUAGCUCUGUGGGCGCACAGCUCCGGAACACGUAUAUAUACACACAUAAAAGAGGAAUCGUGGUUGGGAUGCGUACAUCGUCUACCACAAGCCCUCUAUCAAUUGAGGGGCGAGAACCGGUGAUGGAACCAGUCAAUGCCCAAAACCCCGUCUAGAAAAAGAAAGAAAAGCUGCUGAAGGCCUUUUUCCCUUCUUACACGGUAAAACGAGUCGGUUCUCCAAGGGUGGAAAAAUAACAGAGAGAAAGGAAGAUCAUCUUCAUCAUCAUGGAAACCCCAAGGACAUAACGUAGAGUGUGACUCUUCGGAUUUUUAUUUUGUCCAACACCUUUUU